rnacentral:rRNA from 1 species
GACGAACGCUGGCGGCGUGCCUAAUACAUGCAAGUCGAACGCAGUGGGGACGGGUGAGUAACACGUGGGUAACCUCCCAUCAGAGGGGAUAACACUUGGAAACAGGUGCUAAACCGAUACUGAUGGAUGGACCCGCGGUGCAUUAGCUAGUUGGUGAGGUAACGGCUCCCCCAGGCCACGAUGCAUAGGCGAACUGAGAGGGUGAUCAGCCAAACUGGGACGGAGAAACGGCCCAGGAGCCUACGGGAGGCAGCAGUAGGGAAGCUUAGGCAAGGGACGAAAGGCUGACCGAGGAACCGCGGGUGAGUGAAGAAGGUUUUCCGAGUGUAAAACUCUGGUGGUAGAGAAGCGGUAUCCAACCAGAAAGCCACGGCUAACUACGUGCCAGCAGCCGCGGUAAUUC